UAAGGAAUAUUGGGCAAUGGAGGCAACUCUGAUCCAGCCAUGCCGCGUGAAGGAAUAAGGCCCUAUGGGUUGUAAACUUCUUUUAGACGGGACAAAACCCCUUUACGUGUAAAGGGUUGAUGGUACUGUCAGAAUAAGCAUCGGCUAACUUCGUGCCAGCAGCCGCGGUAAUACGAAGGAUGCAAGCGUUAUCCGGUAUUAUUGGGUUUAAAGGGUGCGUAGGCGGACUAAUAAGUCAGUGGUGAAAGCCUGCAGCUUAACUGCAGAAUGGCCGUUGAUACUGUUAGUCUUGAGUACAGUUGAGGUAGGCGGAAUGUGUCAUGUAGCGGUGAAAUGCUUAGACAUGACACAGAACACCGAUUGCGAAGGCAGCUUGCUAAGCUGUAACUGACGCUGAGGCACGAAAGCGUGGGGAGCA
rnacentral:rRNA from 1 species